rnacentral:lncRNA from 1 species
AGUAGCUAAAAUGGCUGUCCUUGAAGUGGCCAAAGCAGAUGGAACCGAGGAAGAAAGUGGGUUCCACCGGGGGGAGGAUGUUGCCACAACUGCGGACGAUUUGGCAUCCCGGCCACAUACACCAAAUACGUAGAACAUCAUCAUGCGUUAUCGUUGCAUCGUAUUGUGCGAAUUGUCAGAUGAGGUGAAGUAGGUACCUAUCUUAUGACAGAGUGACUGGCAAAUUUGUGCAAGGUAGAUGAAACCACAAUAUUAGAUCGCAAUAAUCCUAUUGAGUUCGUUUGAUUUAAGUUUAGGCUAAAUCAGGGCGAAAUAGUUAUUAGCAGUAUUUCCUUAUGAAACUAUUCCUCAUCGUAAAAGCUUGAAGAAGGUCUUGAAUUGAAUUUAUACAGAACGGAAUCGAAGUCGGUACCAAAUAGUUGUCCCACUGAAUUCUUUGAAGCACUCAAUAAACGGCUUUGAAAAUCAGUGUUCCCGGCUUCUCAUUUGGUCCUGUUCUCAACAGAGUGA